UUUUUUUUUUUAGCCUGGAAGAGAACUUUGAGAUUCUUUCAGGACAGAAGUCUCUAAAAUAGAAUGCUUGCAUCCUAUAGGAUGCACAAGGUUAUCCAUUGGGGUGGGGGAAGAAAAUACUAGUAUGAAACCAAAGAAAUUAAGGGCCAGGGUGAUCGCCCUGUUGUGAAGUCCAACAGGUCCCUUCUGGCCUUAAUCACAGUGACCCCUCGCUGGUCCCUGAGACGCUCCCUUCUUGAAGCAUUCAUCUUCCUUAAGUGAGCCAGGUCACUCUGGUACCUUUUUUCCUCUCUCUCUUUCUCUCUGACUGCUCUUUCUCAGUUUCUUUGUAUUUAAAAGAAUUUAAAAAAUUAAUACAUGGAUUCACACUGCAUCUUCGCUUGCUCCUAGGGGUCAUGUAUAGUAGGCAAGGAUGCGGCUCUAUACAUGGAUAAAGCUGCCUUCCUGUUUCAUUUCCUUUGGGUGUAUUUAGUCACAUGCUGUUAUGGAUUGAAUGUUAUGGAUUGAAUUGUUCCCACCCCAAAGUAUGUUGACGUCCUAACCUCCCAGUACCUCAGAAUGGGACUUAUUUGGAAAUAAGGGGUCAUCGUAGAUGUAAUAAUUAAAGUUUGAGGAGGUUUUGUAUUGAAUCAGGGUGGACCACUGAAUGUGGCUGGUGUCACUAGAAGAGGAGAUGAGACACAGAGGCACACAGAGGGAAGGUAGCCAUGUGCUGAUGGAGAGUAUACUGGAGCGAAGCAUCCAUAAGCCACGGAGCACCAAGGAUUGCUGGCAAAUAGCAAAAGCUGGAAGAGGUAAAGAAAGAGCCCCUUCUUGAGGUUUCAGAGGGAGCAUGGCCCUGCUGACACCCUGAUUCCAGACUCUCAACUUUCAGAGCUGGGAGCCAAUACAUGUCUGUUGUUUUAAGUCACUGAGUUCGUGGAACUUGGUUCUGGCAGCCACAGGAAACUAAUACAUGUGCCCAUGUAGGUAGAUGUAAAAAUCACAUCUCCCUGUUUAAAUGAAACUAUCCCUCACCAAGUGGACACUCUGCAGAGACACUCCGUUUGCAGAUAACACCUUGGGUGCAAGCUCAUGUGGACCACAGGGACAGCACUGCUGUCCUCCAUCGACUCCUGUCAUGAGGAAAAAGUGGAGACAGCCUGUCAAACCUGGUAGCUAGUAGAAUGUCAGCCAAAAUAUCCUGCAAUUAUCAAGAUAUUUGAUUGAUUAUCACCUACUCUUAUUACAAUAAUUUAAUCUUACCCCAAUUCAUAUUAUGCCUUGAGGUAUUAGCUAAUGAGAGUAUCAAACCAUCCCAAUCAACAGGACAUUUAAUAUUCCUUAUUUCACCCUUCUCUCAUCCUAGUAAAUAUUUUAUUUUUAUGCCCUCUAAUAAUACAUGCAAUCUUUCUUUAUUAAAGCAACUUCUAAAUGAAAGGAAAAAUACAUGCAUAUAGAUUGGCAGUAUAUACUCAUUUUGUAAGAUUGAUGGAGUACAUAAUCAGGUCAACACCCACUCUCCUUUUAUGCAUGAGGAAACAGGUCCAGGAUGGUUAUAUGAAUUAGUUACCCAAGGUCAGAACUUGAAUUGGGGAGUUCCUGUCAUAGCACAAUGGAAACGAAUCUGACUAGGAACAUGAGAUUUUGGGUUCGAUCCCUGGCCUUGCUGAGUGGGUUAAGGAUCUGGCGUUGCCAUGAGUUGUGGUGUAGGUCACAGACAUGGCUCAAAUCUGGUGGUGGUGUGGUUUUGGCAUAGGCCAGUGGUUACAGCUCCAACUAGAUCCCUAGCCUGGGAACCUCCGUAUGCCACAGGUGUGGCCCUAAAGAGACAAAACGACCAAAAAAAAAGAAAUUGAAUUUGUUUCUUUUGACUCCAGGCUGGGGCCAGUCUUCUACACCACUCUCUCUCCUCAGAGAUGUAGUGGGAGGCACACUUUGCCCUAUUUUAGCCUCAGGAGGCCUUGGGCAAUUUUGAGUAAAAUGUUCCUGUUUAGCAAGCCUCUUGGGGAGUAGAGGUGUUCCAGCAGCAGGAUCGGGCAAAUGUGGUCUUGAAUUCUGGCUUGGCUUCUCACCAGCUGUGUGACCUGGGCAAGUCGUCUCUGAUCCUCAUUGUCUUUAAUUAUAACAUGCAAAUAAUUGUGGUUUUGAUGGAGGUGUAUUUUUAAGAAUAAAUUAUAUAAUGCUAUCAGAGUGUAAAUGACAUGCUCCUUAAAGUCUAGUACUGUUAGCUGACGUUACUUUUAGGAUGACCAAGGUACAGGAACUCCAGUUCUGUCUUGUACGUAGAGGGGUUCCUGCAGACCAGUGGAAAGACCCAGGUGCAGAUGUGAAUACGAUUUGCAGGGCUGGGCAUGUGGCACAGAGACAGCACAGUGCUGCAUGUGGCCCCCCAGCCCAGGGGGCCAGGGAUGGCAUCUGUGGGCUGAAAUUGGCUGGGUGGGAGACAUGUCAUUCCUGCCACUUUUUCCUGAGUCCCGGUCAUAUUCCACGUGACUGAUUGAUUGGGAGUCACAUUACUCGUCCUGGUCACAGACAAAUGUCUUGAUGGCAAGUCCUCUCUCUCACCUCUCUCUAUUCCUCAAGCCACUUUUGCCUGUCAAUUGCCUAGAAGCUUCCCAACCAAGGGCCAUAGUGACCUCCUUGUUGUCACGUCCAGUGGUCACCUCUUGAGUGUUACCAUGACAUCUUGGCUAUCUCUCUGUCACUGUCUGGACCAUUUGAUUCCUUCCUUUUUCUUGAAGCAGUCUCUCGCUCCCUCUUUCUUUUUGUUUUGUUUUAGAGUAUUUAUUUAUUCUCAUUUCCCCUUUUUUGUUAGAGUAUAGUUGAUUUACAGUGUACAGCAUAGUGACCCAGUCAUACAUACAUAUAUAUUCUUUUUCUCAUAUUAUCUUCCAUCAUGUUCUAUUCCAAGAGAUUGGAUAUAGUUCCAUGUGCUGUACAAUAGGACCUCAUUGCUCAGAGUCUUAAUUGAGGGCCUUUUAAUUGAGGCCCUCUUAACUGAGGGCCAGCACACUCUGUUGAAUUUCCUCCUUUCUGUGGACAUGUCUUUGUCUCUUUUGCUGGCUCAUAUUCUUCUCCUCUGGGACUUCUCCCCAUUCCACCCCAGGCCUCUGUUCUUCCUGAACAUUUCCAGCCAUAGGCUUGGGCUUCCAACACCUUUGGCAUCACUGAUUCUCAGAAAGAGGGAGUGCUGUCAAAAAUCACCUGCCAGGAGAGAGGCUUUUGCAAACUACUCAAACCCCUGAAGGGGGCUUUUGCAAACUAUUCAUUCCCCUGAUGGUUCUGAAUGCACCAUCAGAUGCAACAGAUGGUAGUUCCUUGGUUGUGUAUGUAGUAUGUAGUGUGUAUGUGGUGUGUGUGUGUGUGUGUGGUGAGCUUUUAUUUAAUGGUAACGGAUGCCAAUCUCUCACCUGAAUAUAUAGGUACUACUAUAGGUAUCUACUUGGAUGUCCACUCAGCACCUCACAUGCAGUCUGACCCAAGUGACACUUAGGUUCCCAUAAAUGUGCUCCUUUCCUUGAAUCUUCACUUUCAGUGAAUGACAUCACCCAUUCAAAUGACUGCUCAAGCCAUAACUUGGUUAUCAUCCUUGACUCGUCCUGGUCCAUCACCCCUGAUCCGAUGCCUACCAUCAGUUACCAAGCCCUUGUGAAUCUACCUCCCAGAAAUCAUUUGCAUCAAGAUCAUACCUCCUCUUUCCCAUCGAUGCUAGUCCCCCCCCCCACGCCCCUCCAGUGCCUUGGCCACAUCUAGCCUUCUCAGUGCGACCUCAUCAUGGCACUCCCCCGCUUGAGUGCUUCUGUGGUUCCCUGUUGCCCCCUGACGUGGGAUCAGCUGGGUUCUGCCUCUUUAGCCUCAUUUCUUGCCUCUUCUCACCAUACCCAACACAAUUUGAUUGUACUUAGGGAGUCCUAUAGUUGCUGGUCCAGCCAAAAUGUACUGGGAAAUGAAAGAGGGUGCUGUUAGUAAUUAUUCUGGGACAAUAAGAGAGAACUAGAGCUCUCCCAAGGAAAGCAGGAGGUACAGUCAAUAAAAAUCAUAUAGAACCUUUAGCUGCUCACACAUGCUUUGUUUUCAACUUUUCUUUCUUUUUGUAGACCUUUGUUUUGAUGUCCCCUCUUAGCCUUUCUGAGACCUCCACCCAUUCUGCAUUUUCCUGGCAUGCUGUGCUUUAGCUAUUCAGCCAGUAAAACACUCCAUUUUAGCUUUUCUUCACUCUUACCUGAGAGAAAAAAAAAAAAAAAGUCAGUUUGGGUCUCCAAUUACUUCAAUGCUUUUACCUCUCCCUAAACUGCUUUCUCCAUCACAAUCCUGCCCUUUUUUAAAAAUAAGAGAGAGGCAUAGAUUCAUCAUGUAAGUGACAGGAUCUAGACAGGAAUGUAAAAUGUCAUCUUGUUUUCAUUUUAUUCAUUAAUGUUUAUCUUUUCCUCAUAACAAGUAAUGCUGAUUUUCUAUUGGUGCUAAUGAUGUAACAUUUUUUUCCCCAAAAUGAGCUAAUUUAAAUAAAAGAAGUCAACUGAAAUAAAAGCAUUAAAUUAGUAACAGCCCACUCGAUAUGUGAAAGUGGACAACUUUCCUAACAGCUGGUUCAUCUACUAAGAAUAAGGAUGUUUUCCUGUCCUAAGACAGUAAAUACCAUUAUCAUGCCUCAGAAAAUUAACAUAGCAAAGUAGGUAACUUUUGAUUUAUUCUAAAUAUUGACACUUAAAAAUAAAUCUCUUAUAUCUUAAAUAAAUCCAGUGGAAUCUAAAAACCAAAGGACUUUGAUGCUCAUCAUUAUCUAUUUUUAAAUACAUAGAAAAGCUCCUUUUAAACAUUUGAACACUUUAUUUUUUAUACAGUCUGCUUAUUACACAAAAUCUUAUCCUAAUGCAUAAUUGUUUAUGCUUGAAAAUUUUUAUUGAUCAUCCUAGCAUGUUCUAAAACAAACCAAAAAAAUGCACUAAUUAAAACUGAAUCCUUCCUUUAUAUCCUGUGAUCAUAAAACUCUAUAAGGAUUAAAAAUUCUUCUUGGAUUGAGUUAUCAUUAUAGUUAUUAUCAGUAUACACAGAUACACUAUUACUGCACUAUUGACCAUAAUUUUAUAAUAACAUCCUAAUUUUAAUAUUAGAAAAUGUAAAAAAAGUUUUGGAAAUAUAUCUCCUAAAUAACAUGAUUGGGGCUUUAACAAGGAGCUUCUGUAUUUGUGGAUGAAUAUGACUUAUUGCAAGGAAAAUGCAGGGUGCAGCAUCAAUUCUGUGCCUAUUUUUUAUAGAUGCAAAUAAAAAAUUUCACAUAUAAAAUAAAUAGUUAUGGAAGAAGAUUUAUGAUACCAGUUUGAAUUCCUUUGCAGUUAUAUGACAACAAUCACAUAGUGAUAUAUCACAAAAUUUAUUUAUAUAAUGAUGUAUUGUUUGCUAACUCUGUUAGGUCCUCUUGUCUUUCAAUUUUAUUAAAGGCAAAGAAUUAGAAACAGCCUGAACUGCAGAAGAUUUGUUAUCCCACUCUUAGUCACUCUCUUGAUUUCUUAGAAUUACACUGAAAAGUAUUUAUGAAUCUUUAUCAAAUUAUUAUUAAUGACACUUAUUUUUCACCUAAAGACAUCAUCUUUAACCUGCUAUACUUAUAAAUGAGAAAAUAAAAACAUUGGACUUUGCAAUACACUUUUGCUUAUGCAGUAUAUAUUUUUUAAAUCACAUGCAAAAGCUUCAAAAGUAUUUGUAAGAAACCGCGGAGUUAUAUAGAUUUUAAUUUAUGGAAAAUAUCCACCAUGGUCAAACUCACUAGCCAGAUCUACUUGCUUCCUGCCAGAAAACAUCUGGCUUCAUUUCCCAAUUCAGAUAGACAUCUCUGGGACCAAGUGCCUUGGGAAGUCAGGCUGCAUGAGAGGGCUGGGGUUUACAGUGAGCCGUGGGGGACUGGAGGCCGGGAGGUAGCAGAGGGGGGCUGAAAGGCCAGUAAGAAGCUUCUGGUGUAGAAGUGGCCAUAAGGCGGUCACUGUUAGAGUGGAGACGUGAGUCGGAGAUCUAGAAUUGGAUUUCCAUAAAGUCACCCCUGCUUGUGGAUCCCUUGGGGAGGUUUCAGAUCCUUCUGGGGUACACAUACCCCCCAUAAAGCCUGCUGGCUAGCAAACUGGCUCUUCUGGAGUCUGGGUUGACAAUGAGGUGAGGGAAGGGAGAAUAGGAUCAAAGGAAAAUAGGAUCAGAGGAGAAGGGAGAAUAGGAUCAGUGAAUGUCCCAGCAGGUCCUGGGUGUCCUGGGCUGUGGUCUCCUGACUCGCCUCUGAACCACCUAGGGAAUCCCUCUCUCCACUUGAGAACUUCCAUUGGCCUUGGUGGUGGGGGCGUGGAACGUGUGUCCAGGCUGAUCUGGCUGGGCUUAUUGAGAAUGCAUAUAUAUAUAUAAAACUUCUGUUGUAAAGAAUUUUGCCAUGACCAUGGGGGUGCAGAGACCUCUGGGACAUAGUGUUUUUGUUUCCUUUGGAUAUAUUUUCAGAAGUGAGAUUGCUAGAUCAUAUGGUAGUUCUAUUUUUAAUUUUUUGAAGAACCCCCAUACUGUUUUCCACAGCUACACCCAUUUACAUUCCCACCAGGAGUGCACAAAUGUUCCCUUUUCUCCACAUCCUGUCCAACUUGUUAUCUGUUUUCUUUUGGGUGGUAGUCAUUCCCAUAGGUGUGAAGUGAUGUCUCCUAGUGGAUUUGAUAUGCAUUUCCUUGAUGAUUAGUGAUAUUGAACACCUUUUCAUGUACCUGUUGGCUAUUUGUGUAUCUUCUAUGGAAAAAUGUCUAAUCAUAUCCUUUGCGCAUUUCUAAUUGGAUUAUUUGUUUUUUUGGUUUUUGUGGGUUUUUUUUUUUUUGCUAUCAAGUUGUAUGAGUUUUAUAUAUUUUGGGUAUAAACUCAUCAGGCACAUGGUUUGCAAGUAUUUUUUUCCCAUUUAAUAGGUUGUCUUUUCAUUUUAUUGAUCAUUUCAUUUGCUCUGCGGAAGCUUUUCAGUUUAACACAUUCCGACUUAUUUAUUUUUCAUUUUGUUGCUCAUGCUUUAGGUGUCAUACCUAAAAAAAAAAAAAAAAAUUACUGCCAAGACUCAUGUCAGGGGGCAUUUUCCCUGUGUUUUCUUCUGGGAGUUACAUGGUCUUACAAUUAAGUCUUUAAUUAAACCAUUAACUUUUAAUCAAGACUCAGCCUGAGCUGUGGGGACAGAGUGGUUUUUACAAAAUGCAUAUUGAGGAACCUCUUGAGUUUCUUCCUUCUGAGAGUGAGACUUUCUAAUAUAUUUAGGGAACUUCUGGUGCAAUAAUCUCUUCUGAACCUCCAGGAACCAGUUCUUCAAUUAAUCCCUUGGCUUCUUAGGUGAGGUGGAACCUGGCUGUCUGUUCCUCUCUUAGCUCUGCAGUGACACACAGAAGGAAAAGGAGGAACCCUUCGGUUGUGCCCCUUCCCCCUCCCCUCCAUUCUAGCCAUUUUCCAGUUUGGACCAAGGACAUACCCCAAACUGGUACCAUUGGAACAGUUUGACCAGUUUGAACAGUAUGCUCAUUAUCCAAUUAAUUUUUUUCUCAUGUAUAAAAAUCAAUAGAUUUUACUUUUCAUCCCCAAAUUCAAAUUUCAGGGUUUUUUUUAAAAUAAAAAUAAAAACAGUGGUGUCACAUGGCCAUGAUUGUGUUGUACCAAGUAAUACUGUCCUCUUUAGAUGGUAGCAUAAGAUUUCUGGUUUGUCAUAGUCCUCACCCCACCCUUGACAUUUCCAGCCUGUUUUUGGUAGAAAUUUAGAUCUGUGACCAGUAGAUGAAUGUUUAUUGAGGUUAAUUUUGCCAGUAAAUAUUAAUUGAAUACCUGCAAUUGCCAGCCAAACUCACAAAAUCCCUGACUGCAUGGAACUUACACUCUAGUGUGAGAAGACAAAUAAUAAACAAAUGUAUUAUAGAAUAUGUUGGAAGGUAAUUGUUCUAUGAAGGAAAUGCAGCAGAAGGGGAUAGCAAGUGUGGAUGUGUACAGUGCUAAAACGGGAUAGACAGGGGGUUCCCAUUGUGGCUCAGUGGGUUACAGACCCACUGUUGUCUCUAUGGGGAUGUGGGUUUGAUCCCUGGCCUCACUCAGUGGGUUAAGAAUCUGGCUUUUUAAGAGUUCCCUUAGUGGCUCAGUGGUUAACGAACCCAACUAGUAACCAUGAGGUUGCAGGUUCAAUGCCUGGCCUUGCUCAGUGGAUUAAGGAUCUGGUGUUGCUGUGAGUUGUGAUGUAGGUCGCAGAUGUGGCUCAGAUCCUGCGUUGCUGUGGCUGUGGCAUAGGCUGGCAGCUACAGCUCCGAUUUGACCCCUAGCCUGGGAACCUCCAUGUGCCAUGGGUGCGGGCCUAAAAAGACAAAAGACAAAAG
rnacentral:lncRNA from 1 species